UACGUAGGCAGCAAGCGUUGUUCGGAAUUACUGGGCGUAAAGAGUGUGUAGGCGGUGUUCUAAGUUCGGUGUGAAAUCUCCCGGCUCAACUGGGAGGGUGCGCCGAAAACUGGAGUGCUCGAGUAUGGGAGAGGUAAGCGGAAUUCCUGGUGUAGCGGUGAAAUGCGUAGAUAUCAGGAGGAACACCUGCGGUGUAGACGGCUUACUGGACCAUGACUGACGCUGAGGCACGAAAGCGUGGGGAGCAAACAGG
rnacentral:rRNA from 1 species